rnacentral:rRNA from 1 species
GACGAACGCUGGCGGCGUGCUUAACACAUGCAAGUCGAACGGAAAGGCCCUGCUUUUGUGGGGUGCUCGAGUGGCGAACGGGUGAGUAACACGUGAGUAACCUGCACUUGACUUUGGGAUAAAUUCAGGAAACUGGGGCUAAUACCGGAUAGGAGCUCCUGCUGCAUGGUGGGGGUUGGAAAGUUUCGGCGGUUGGGGAUGGACUCGCGGCUUAUCAGCUUGUUGGUGGGGUAGUGGCUUACCAAGGCUUUGACGGGUAGCCGGCCUGAGAGGGUGACCGGCCACAUUGGGACUGAGAUACGGCCCAGACUCCUACGGGAGGCAGCAGUGGGGAAUAUUGCACAAUGGGCGGAAGCCUGAUGCAGCAACGCCGCGUGCGGGAUGACGGCCUUCGGGUUGUAAACCGCUUUCGCCUGUGACGAAGCGUGAGUGACGGUAAUGGGUAAAGAAGCACCGGCUAACUACGUG